AAAGUGCAAUAGAUAGCAUGUUGGACUUCUAAUCUAAAGAUCGUGCGUUCGAAUCCCACCUGGGAUG